AUGGUGCAAUUGUCACAUGGGUCUGAUGUAUUCCGAUGGAACCUCCAUGGGAAUGGAGAAUUCUCAGUGGAUUCUAUGUAUAGAGCGUUAAUUCAAUCUGAUGUGACAGUUGUUAAUAACAAGAAGAUCUGGAAGAUGAAGAUACCUCUUAAGAAUAAAAUCUUUGCAUGGUAUCUUCGUCGCGGAGUCAUUCUUACUAAAGAUAACCUCAUUAAGAGGAAUUGGCAUGCAAGCCCGCAAUGUGUAUUUUGUCACCAUGAGGAGACAAUAAAACAUUUAUUCUUUCAAUGCAAAUUGGCUCGUUCUAUAUGGUCAAUCAUCCAAAUAGCUUCUGGCUUGUAUCCUCCCUGUAGUGUUGCUAAUGUAUUUGGCAACUGGUUACAUGGGAUUGAUCAUAGGUUUAUAACUCUUCUCAGGGUGGGAGCGCUUGCCGUUAUUUGGUCGCUUUGGCUAUGUAGAAAUGAUAAGGUUUUUAAUGAUAAAAGUACUUCUCUGUUGCAGGUUAUCUACAGAUGUACCGAGACUCUUCGUUCAUGGUCCUCUCUACAACGCGUGGAGAAUCGAGACCUGUUUACGAAGGUGUGUACACGAUUCGAGGCUACGGCGAGGGAUAUUUUUACCCAACAUGGGUGGCAGCAUGAUCUAAGGAUUGGCCCCCCUCCAUAUUAG
rnacentral:rRNA from 1 species